UACGUAGGGGGCAAGCGUUGUCCGGAUUUAUUGGGCGUAAAGAGCGUGUAGGCGGCCAGGUAGGUCGGUUGUGAAAACUCGAGGCUCAACCUCGAGAUGUCGACCGAAACCAUCUGGCUAGAGUCCGGAAGAGGAGAAUGGAAUUCCCGGUGUAGCGGUGAAAUGCGCAGAUAUCGGGAAGAACACCCGUGGCGAAGGCGGUUCUCUGGGACGUUACUGACGCUGAGACGCGAAAGCGUGGGGAGCAAACAGG
rnacentral:rRNA from 1 species